GAUCGGUGCUUGCACCGAGAUUCCCAUGGAGCGAGUGGCGGACGGGUGAGUAACACGUGGGUAACCUGCCCUUAAGUGGGGGAUAACAUUUGGAAACAGAUGCUAAUACCGCAUAGAUCCAAGAACCGCAUGGUUCUUGGCUGAAAGAUGGCGUAAGCUAUCGCUUUUGGAUGGACCCGCGGCGUAUUAGCUAGUUGGUGAGGUAAUGGCUCACCAAGGCGAUGAUACGUAGCCGAACUGAGAGGUUGAUCGGCCACAUUGGGACUGAGACACGGCCCAAACUCCUACGGGAGGCAGCAGUAGGGAAUCUUCCACAAUGGACGCAAGUCUGAUGGAGCAACGCCGCGUGAGUGAAGAAGGCUUUCGGGUCGUAAAACUCUGUUGUUGGAGAAGAAUGGUCGGCAGAGUAACUGUUGCCGGCGUGACGGUAUCCAACCAGAAAGCCACGGCUAACUACGUGCCAGCAGCCGCGGUAAUACGUAGGUGGCAAGCGUUAUCCGGAUUUAUUGGGCGUAAAGCGAGCGCAGGCGGUUUUUUAAGUCUGAUGUGAAAGCCCUCGGCUUAACCGAGGAAGCGCAUCGGAAACUGGGAAACUUGAGUGCAGAAGAGGACAGUGGAACUCCAUGUGUAGCGGUGAAAUGCGUAGAUAUAUGGAAGAACACCAGUGGCGAAGGCGGCUGUCUGGUCUGU
rnacentral:rRNA from 1 species